UAACUCUAGCUCAGUUGGUUAGAGCGCUGCACUGGAAUCGCAGGGCCGUAGGUUCAAUUCCUACGAGAG
rnacentral:tRNA from 1 species